UACGUAGGUGGCGAGCGUUAUCCGGAAUUAUUGGGCGUAAAGAGCGCGCAGGUGGUUGAUUAAGUCUGAUGUGAAAGCCCACGGCUUAACCGUGGAGGGUCAUUGGAAACUGGUCGACUUGAGUGCAGAAGAGGGAAGUGGAAUUCCAUGUGUAGCGGUGAAAUGCGUAGAGAUAUGGAGGAACACCAGUGGCGAAGGCGGCUUCCUGGUCUGUAACUGACACUGAGGCGCGAAAGCGUGGGGAGCAAACGGGGAUUAGAUACCCU
rnacentral:rRNA from 1 species